CUGGUACUGGUUCACGCCGCGACAAGGCGACCCAGCGACC
rnacentral:ncRNA from 1 species